CGGCGUUAAAGACCCCUCGGAUAGUAGCGAUGGCGAGGGGCGAGGCGGCCCGGGGCUGCUGGAAACACUCUAUUUCAGGACCUGGGUGCUGGGUACGCGGUGUGUUCCGUUCCGUUUCUGAAAAUCCAGUGAGCUGCAUGCCUUCUCUGGGUGUUUGCUGCGACAUGUGGGAUCUAGUUUCCAAACUAAGGAUGGAACAAGAGCUCUCUGUACCGGGAACAUGGAGUUUUAGCCACUGGACCACCAGGGAAGUUUGCGGCAGGAGCCACAGAGCUUUGGAUUUCUGAAGAUGCUCAGGAGAUGUGAUGAUGUAAGAAUGUUUCUUUUCCCUCCCCAUCUCCCUCUUUUCCUGGGAUCAUACAGGAGCCCAGAGCUAGGCAUCUGGUUCAGUGGGGAGUCUUUCCAACACUGGCUCCAAUAUUGAUGGAUGAAAGGGAGUAGCAAGACAGGGAGGGAACGGUUUUCCAGGCAUAGGGAAGAGCAUUUAGGAAACCUUGCAACAGCUUUAUCCAUUCUAGGAACUCCAAGUAAUCCCACACCUGAGUGAGAGCUAAAAAUCUUCAACCCACGAGGUAUUCCAGCUAUUGGUCCAAACCUUCUCGGUUGACUUUCAAGGCCAUUUACAAACUUGCCCUAACCUACUUCCCACUUCUCCUCCCCACCGCCAUCCUCAAACCCCUGACCCUUUGUUGCUGCUGCUAAGUCAUUUCAGUCAUGUCCGACUCUGUGCAACCCCAUAGACGACAGCCCAUCAGGCUCCCCCCCGUCCCUGGGAUUGUCCAGGCAAGAACACUGGAGUGGAGUGGGGACCCUUUGUUAUAGUCACUCUAAUGGUUUCCUGUUCUCCAAACAGAUCUUUCACUUUCUGGCCUCUGGCCUCCCGAACUUUGCCCAGGCUGCCCAUCCCCUAAAGGGAAUGUUCUAACCCCUCCCCUUUUCGCUGAGCUAAGGACUCAAUGAACAGGAAUUUGAGCAAACUCCGGGAGACAGUGGAGGCAGAGGAGUGCUGCAGUCUGGAGUGUUGCAGUCCAUUCGGUUCCAAAGAGUCGGACUUCGGGACUGAACAACAAACUCUCAUCUUCCAAGACCCAACUCAGGGGACAUCUCUCUCCCCCAGAAUGUAGAACUUCCAAAGCAGAAGUUCGAGACCCCCUAAUCCCUAGAACCCAGGCUAUCAUUUCUGCUGAAUAAUUAGUCACGUCAAGGAAAUCUUUCCUGAAUACUCCAAGAUAAACGCCCCACUCUGCGCUGUCCUCUGUGCCCCGCUGCACACCUUGUCCAUGCUUUGUUAUGAACUUCUUGAGGCAAGCAUCAUUUCUUUUUCUUCAGUGUCUAAUAAACUGUACCGACCACA